GACGAACGCUGGCGGCGUGCCUAAUACAUGCAAGUCGAACGCGUCUACGUUAAUGAAAUCAAUGUGCUUGCACGGCGAUGGAUUUAACAUUAGACGAGUGGCGAACUGGUGAGUAACACGUGGGUAACCUGCCCUAAAGUGGGGGAUAACAUUUGGAAACAGAUGCUAAUACCGCAUAAAUCUUGGAACCUCAUGGUUCCAAGCUGAAAGAUGGCGUAAGCUAUCGCUUUUGGAUGGACCCGCGGCGUAUUAGCUAGUUGGUGAGGUAAAGGCUCACCAAGGCGAUGAUACGUAGCCGACCUGAGAGGGUGAUCGGCCACAUUGGGACUGAGACACGGCCCAAACUCCUACGGGAGGCAGCAGUAGGGAAUCUUCCACAAUGGACGAAAGUCUGAUGGAGCAACGCCGCGUGAGUGAAGAAGGUUUUCGGAUCGUAAAACUCUGUUGUUGGAGAAGAACGUACGUGAGAGUAACUGUUCACGUAGUGACGGUAUCCAACCAGAAAGCCACGGCUAACUACGUGCCAGCAGCCGCCGUAA
rnacentral:rRNA from 1 species